CAGGGUGUAGCGCAGUCAGGUAGCGUAUCUGUUUUGGGUACAGGAGGCCGCGUGUUCGAGUCACGCCACCCUGA
rnacentral:tRNA from 1 species